rnacentral:rRNA from 1 species
AAACUAACAAGGAUUCCCCUAGUAACGGCGAGUGAAGAGGGAAGAGCCCAAGAUUGAAAGCUGGCACCUUCGGUGUCCGCAUUGUAAUCUCAAGAAGUGUUUUCCGCUUCGGACCAUGCCUAAGUCUCCUGGAAAGGAGCAUCAUAGAGGGUGAUAAUCCCGUACAUGGCAUGGAGCGCCCGUAGCUUUGUGAUACGCUUUCUAAGAGUCGAGUUGUUUGGGAAUGCAGCUCAAAAUGGGUGGUAAAUGCCAUCUAAGGCUAAAUAUUGGGGAGAGACCGAUAGCGAACAAGUACAGUGAUGGAAAGAUGAAAAGAACUUUGAAAAGAGAGUUAAACAGUACGUGAAAUUGCCAAAAGGGAAGGGUAGGAGGUCAGAGAUGCGGCUUGGAAUUCAGCCUUGCUUUUUGCAUGGUGUUUUUUCCCUGUUGCAGGCCAACGUCGGUUUUGGGCACUGGAGAAGGGUGGAAGGAAUGUGGCACCUCUCGGGGUGUGUUAUAGCCUUCUACUGGAUACAGCGACCGAGACCGAGGACAGCAGCGUACUCGCAAGAGCGGGCCUUCGGGCACCUUUACGCUUAGGGCGUUGGCAUAAUGGCCCUCUACCACCCGUCU